rnacentral:rRNA from 1 species
CCUACGGGCGGCAGCAGUGAGGAAUAUUGGUCAAUGGGCGCGAGCCUGAACCAGCCAAGUAGCGUGAAGGAUGACUGCCCUACGGGUUGUAAACUUCUUUUAUAAAGGAAUAAAGUGAGGCACGUGUGCCUUUUUGUAUGUACUUUAUGAUUAAGGAUCGGCUAACUCCGGGCCAGCAGCCGCGGUAAUACGGAGGGUCCGAGCGUUAUCCGGAUUUAUAGGGUUUAAAGGGAGCGUAGAUGGGUUGUUAAGUCAGUUGUGAAAGUUUGCGGCUCAACCGUAAAAUUGCAAUUGAUACUGGCAGUCUUGAGUACAGUUGAGGUAGGCGGAAUUCGUGGUGUAGCGGUGAAAUGCUUAGAUAUCACGAAGAACUCCGAUUGCGAAGGCAGCUUACUAAACUGCCACUGACAUUGAUGCUCGAAAGUGUGGGUAUCAAACAGGAUUAGAUACCCUAGUAGUC